CUCUAUGAUGAUUUAUUCUCAGACCUGUACCGAUCUCAUCGAGACGUGCGGACAACCCGAAUAUUGCCUUUUUUUUCUGACC
rnacentral:snoRNA from 1 species